AUUGAACGCUGGCGGCAGGCCUAACACAUGCAAGUCGAACGAGUGGCGGACGGGUGAGUAAUGUCUGGGAAACUGCCUGAUGGAGGGGGAUAACUACUGGAAACGGUAGCUAAUACCGCAUACCAUCAGAUGUGCCCAGAUGGGAUUAGCUUGUUGGUGGGGUAACGGCUCACCAAGGCGACGAUCCCUAGCUGGUCUGAGAGGAUGGCCAGCAACCCGGGAACGGAGACAAGGUCCAGACUCCUACGGGAGGCAGAAGUGGGGAAUAUGGAACAAUGGGCGCAAGCCUGAUGCAGCCAUGCCGCGUGUAUGAAGAAGGCCUUCGGGUUGUAAAGUACUUUCAGCGGGGAGGCGUUACCCGCAGAAGAAGCACCGGCUAACUCCGUGCCAGCAGCCGCGGUAAUUC
rnacentral:rRNA from 1 species